rnacentral:lncRNA from 1 species
AUUGUACAGCCCAGUGGUUCACUGAGACUCUCCUGCAAAGCCUCUGAUUUCACCUUUACUGGCUACAGCAUGAGCUUGGUCCAGCAGGCUUCAUGACAGGGAUUGGUGUGGGUGGAAACAGUGAGUGAUCAAGUGGGAGUUCUCAGAGUUACUCUCCAUGAGUACAAAUAAAUUAACAGUCCCAAGCGACACCUUUUCAUGUGCAGUCUACCUUACAAUGACCAACCUGAAAGCCAAGGACAAGGCUGUGUAUUACUGUGAGGGACACAGGAGAGGGAAU